rnacentral:rRNA from 1 species
AUACAGAGGGUGCGAGCGUUAAUCGGAAUUACUGGGCGUAAAGCGCGCGUAGGCGGCUUAUUAAGUCAGAUGUGAAAUCCCCGGGCUCAACCUGGGAACUGCAUCUGAUACUGGUAAGCUAGAGUUUUGGAGAGGGAAGUAGAAUUUCAGGUGUAGCGGUGAAAUGCAUAGAGAUCUGAAGGAAUACCAGUGGCGAAGGCGACUUCCUGGACUUGAACUGACGCUGAGGUACGAAAGCGUGGGUAGCAAACGGGAUUAGAAACCCUAGUAGUCC